rnacentral:ribozyme from 1 species
AUUGGAGGAGAUAAGAACGCUAUGAGAAGAAGAAGAAGAAAGAUCUGAUGUAUUUUCCUCUUUCUAGUCUUCUAUUCUUUUUCUUUUUCUUCUUU